GGACCACACAUUUUGACCAGGAUAAAGCAAUAGACACAAUUUACAUAGACUUCUGCAAAGCCUUUGAUUCAGUGGUGUAUGACAAACUACUGCUGAAACUUAAUUCUUAUGGCAUCUCCAGAUCCCUGCAUUACUGGAUAGAGGCAUU